UACGUAGGGUGCAAGCGUUGUCCGGAAUUAUUGGGCGUAAAGAGCUCGUAGGCGGUCUGUCGCGUCGGAUGUGAAAACCCGGGGCUUAACCCCGGGCCUGCAUUCGAUACGGGCAGACUUGAGUGUGGUAGGGGAGACUGGAACUCCUGGUGUAGCGGUGAAAUGCGCAGAUAUCAGGAAGAACACCGGUGGCGAAGGCGGGUCUCUGGGCCACUACUGACGCUGAGGAGCGAAAGCGUGGGGAGCGAACAGG
rnacentral:rRNA from 1 species